ACUUCUCUUUAGCUGGCUUUGUAAUGGGGGUUAGGUUAGGAUAGUUGAUAAAGUAAAUUUUUGAAUUGGUAUUUGUAAAAUUCUCAAAGGAAUUGAUUUCUUUGGCAGGCUCAGAGGAAAAGUGAUUGUUUUGAAUCUAUCUAAACGGAACCCUUCUGCCCUGUCUCCACCGUCAAUGGGGAAGAACCAAACUUCUUGCUAAAUGAGAUUGGUUCAGAUAACAAAGCUUAUAAUUUUAUUUACAUCGGAAAAAAGUCAUGUCAGGCUUUGAUGACUGUUUUAGAUCAAUUGUUGUUGAUCUGUUGUUUCCAUAGCUGUUGUAUUUUUGUUCUGGGAAUCAUUCACCCAGAAUCAGUGGUGGUCAUUGGAAAAAAAAAAUGAGGCAUCCACUUUACAUUCUAUUUAACUAUUAAUUCAAAGGCAUUCCACCAGUCCUAGCACAUCCACUUUUGCCAUUCACUGCAAAUUGUAUAUCUUAAUCCCCAUCCUAUCACCAAAUUCUCUUUGGAGGAGAGAACUUUUGGCAUUUCCUACUCCUACGAGGUGGGUUUCUAAAAGAAUAUGUAACUUUUUAUAUUUGUCAUCAAGGCUUUAUUAUUUUUGUAUGGAAUAUGUAUCUUUAUGCAGCAGAUGACUAAAUCCUAAAGAUACAGUAAGGUAUUGACUGAGUAAAUUACUUUUAGCACAUAUGUGAGCAUGCAGAACCUACAAUAAACCCCAUGGUCCUAAGGAAAAUCUGGCUCCAGAGUUUACAGAAUACCAAGAAAUAUGCCUAAAGGGAAGUGAUUAUAACUCUGGUAUUUCUUCCACCACUUUCCCACCUUUUUGGUUAUUUGAUGUGGAAGGAGCACUUAUUUUAAUCAAAAUGGGCAAGUUAGUCUGACAGUUAAAUGAGGAAAAGACUAUGAUAACUAGGAUACCAAGAAACUAAUGAAUAGAUGAAAAUCAAUAAAAUUGUUGCAGAUCUCUCAAAAAUUUUUUUCAGAAAUUUCUUAAAGUCUGCACUAACUGAUUUAUUUAGAGAUCUAGCAAAAGAAACAUCAGCCCAUUAAAAGGUCAUGCCAAGGAGAAAAGGUUCUUUCUUUUGGGAAUAAAUUGAAAUCCUAUCCCAUAAAAAUAAUCUUGGUUGAGAGCAUUUCUCUAGAGGCAUGAUAAUUCAUUGUAGGCAUUUCCUGUCUAUUCCUGCUGCCAGAUAAACAUGUCACAGAUCAUAUAUUCUCUCUUGAAGAAUAUAGACAUGCAAAAGUUGCACAAAUACUUAUGUUUGCAUGCUUUCAUUUGAUGAUUAGGUUUUGUUUGGACAUAUUAGAACGACUUGAAAGACAGGAAUUGACAGUCAACUCUAAGAAAAAGAGAGAUUAAAAAUGCAAUUUGAUUCUGUCAUGGUAAUUUUAGUCAAGGUGAAAAAAUGGGAAUGUGACACAAGUUUGAACAAGACU